CCUACGGGAGGCAGCAGUAGGGAAUCUUCCACAAUGGGCGAAAGCCUGAUGGAGCAACGCCGCGUGGGUGAAGAAGGUCUUCGGAUCGUAAAACCCUGUUGUUAGAGAAGAAAGUGCGUGAGAGUAACUGUUCACGUUUCGACGGUAUCUAACCAGAAAGCCACGGCUAACUACGUGCCAGCAGCCGCGGUAAUACGUAGGUGGCAAGCGUUAUCCGGAUUUAUUGGGCGUAAAGGGGCCGCGAGCGGUCUUUUAAGGUUGAUGUGAAAGCGUUGGGCCUAACCGGAGUAGUGCAUUGGAAACUGGGAGACUUGAGUGCAGAAGAGGUGAGUGGAACUCGAUGUGUAGCGGUGAAAUGCGUAGAUAUAUGGAAGAACACCAGUGGCGAAAGCGGCUCUCUGGUCUGUAACUGACGCUGAGGUUCGAAAGCGUGGGUAGCAAACAGGAUUAGAUACCCUUGUAGUC
rnacentral:rRNA from 1 species